rnacentral:rRNA from 1 species
UACGUAGGUGGCAAGCGUUGUCCGGAUUUACUGGGCGUAAAGAGCGCGCAGGCGUCGCUCAAGUCGCGUGUGAAAGCCCCCGGCUCAACUGGGGAGGGUCACGCGAUACUGAUCGACUGGAAGGCAGGAGAGGGUAGUGGAAUUCCCGGUGUAGUGGUGAAAUGCGUAGAUAUGCGGAGGAACACCGAUGGCGAAGGCAAUCCCCUGGACCUGUACUGACGCUCAUGCACGAAAGCGUGGGGAGCAAACAGG